AUUGCAAUUUCAACAUCAUAUCAUUGAACUUGCAUUAUAUAUUGAUUUUACAAAGUUAAUCCACAUAAAUUUGUUAGUGUUUAUAUUCAAACAACACACGUGACGGACCUGACUAAACCUCAUUGGUUCUUGGGAUUCAGUACGUCACAUUGGCUUCCUGAUUCAGUUGUUCGAUACACAACGUGCGUGAUCGUUGGUAAAUGUGGAUUAAAAGUUGAAACUAAAACUGUUAAAUUAUAUAUAGUGAUCAUCAGAGGACUUGGCUGAAACAACGCGAUUCACAUGGAUUACUUCGGCGAUGUUUUUUAUUGCUGUUGCGAUUAACUUUUUGAAAUGUGAGCAGUUUUUAAGUAUCAAGUGGAUCUGACAUCGAGGGGAAAUAUACGUUUCUUGGAUUUCAUUAAAGUACAUCGGUUUUUGUUUGAAGAUGAAUGAGAGAACAUGAGGCACAGCGGCAUUCAAAUUGACCAAUCAGAGCCGAGAAUAUCUAAUAAGUCGAAGUAGAGAUGAACAGAUGAAGAUACAGCCCGUAAAAAUACUUAUUCUUGGUGAGUGCCAUGUAGCGACGGAUCAAACGGACACUCAUGUCAAGCUUGAUGAGGACACAGUCAAAGCUUUAAAAGACCUUGUGAUUAAGUCUUCAGUGUCUGAAUGGCAAGAAGAAGUGACCCUCCACUUAAACGUGACAUUUAAACUGCUCUGUGUUUUGGUUCAGCCAUUUGUAGGUUUAUCUCGAGUAAGUUCAAAUGCACUUCUGCAUUUGUCCAGUAACUUUUUGUUUAGAGAAUUACA